rnacentral:rRNA from 1 species
UACGUAGGGUGCAAGCGUUAAUCGGAAUUACUGGGCGUAAAGCGUGCGCAGGCGGUGAUGUAAGACAGAUGUGAAAUCCCUGGGCUCAACUUGGGAACUGCAUUUGUGACUGCAUCGCUGGAGUGCGGCAGAGGGGGAUGGAAUUCCGCGUGUAGCAGUGAAAUGCGUAGAUAUGCGGAGGAACACCGAUGGCGAAGGCAAUCCCCUGGGCCUGCACUGACGCUCAUGCACGAAAGCGUGGGGAGCAAACAGG